GGAUCUGUCUCUAUGGGGAAUGGGGAUAGAGCAUCAUGAGAAUGGGAAUAGGUCGAAUCUGCUCCGCCAAUGCUGGUUUCUUCAAUGGUUUUGUUCUAGCUCGGGAUUCAGGCCUACCAUACCCGAAACUGUGAAUGAAAACGCAUUCAGCCAGGACCGUUGAGAAACGAGGCUGCCUUCCAGCAUGACUCUUGGAAUGGAACAUCUUUCAACAGUUUGAAAAGAAACAGAGAUGAUGCAUAAAUGUUCACUAAUUUCAGUGCAUUGGAAAAUGAGAGGAGCCAGGAAGAAGUCCUCUGGCUUAGUAUCCCAUUUUAGCUUGCCAAAGAUUUCCAUUUUCCCCGGAUAUGGCUGCAGUUGAGAACUUCCUGCAGUUCCAACAGGAGACGACCACUCCUUGUCAAGUUCGAGCGAAAAGGGAUACCACUCAUCCCCGAAGUAUUGGCAUAGUUAUACAGAGGAAUUCAUUGCGAUUAACAACUUCUCUUGAACUGAUUUUCAGAUGAGACGAACACUGAAGAAGUUGCAAGAUCUUUUUGAUAAGCAAACGAAUACGGCUGAUAUGUUGGAGUUGGCAGUUGAUUACAUCAAAGAGCUGCAGAAAGAAACGCAGUUUAAUGAAACAGAGGCAUCCUCUUUCGUGGUCACCGACCUCAACUUCCCUACCUAUGUAUAUUCUCCUUUCUUUAUAGGUGCUCAACAAAGUGAGAGCCAGAUGUUGCCCGGGUAAACUCAACAAGCCAAUUCUACCACGUAGUUAAGAAUAUUGUUCAGUCUUGAUUCACUAGCGACACUAUCCACGUUCCAAUGCCCAUUAGAGAAAGUUAUGAAAUUUUGUUGCGCAAAUUGAUCAAAGGCCUGUUGGCCCUACAGGAAGGAAUGACUAAACUCUAUAUUGUAUACUGGUAAGUGUUUUUACGAAUAAUUUUUGUUUACAAAGUUCGAUUCAGAUCCAAACACAUAAAUGGUUA